GGCUUAAUGGUCUAGUAGUAUGAUUCCUCCUUCGGGGUUCGCCUCGCUUUGAUUGCGAAGUAUAUGGAGGAGGUCCUGGGUUCAAUUCCCAGUUAAGCCC